UACGGAGGGUGCAAGCGUUGUCCGGAUUUAUUGGGUUUAAAGGGUGCGUAGGCGGCUUGUUAAGUCAGCGGUGAAAUCCCAGGGCUCAACCCUGGAACUGCCGUUGAUACUGGCAAGCUUGAGUUCGGUCGAGGCGGGCGGAACUGGUGGUGUAGCGGUGAAAUGCAUAGAUACCACCAAGAACCCCGAUUGCGAAGGCAGCUCGCUGGGCCGAAACUGACGCUGAGGCACGAAAGCGUGGGGAGCGAACAGG
rnacentral:rRNA from 1 species